rnacentral:tRNA from 1 species
GGGGCUGUGGCUCAGAGGUAGAGCGCUCGCCUAACAUGCAUGCGUGAGGCACUGGGUUCGAUCCUCAGCCCCA